UGUGUAGGCGGUCCUCUAAGUUUGGUGUGAAAUCUCCCGGCUCAACUGGGAGGGUGCGCCGAAUACUGAAGGACUAGAGUGCGGGAGAGGAGAGUGGAAUUCCUGGUGUAGCGGUGAAAUGCGUAGAUAUCAGGAGGAACACCGGUGGUGUAGACGGCUCUCUGGACCGUAACUGACGCUGAAACACGAAAGCGUGGGUAGCAAACAGGAUUAGAUACCCUGGUAGUCCACGCCCUAAACGAUGCAUAUUUGGUGUGGGUCAUUCAGUUGAUCCGUGCCGGAGCUAACGCGUUAAAUAUGCCGCCUGGGGAGUACAGUCGCAAGGCUGAA
rnacentral:rRNA from 1 species